rnacentral:misc_RNA from 1 species
GCAUUCAGCACCCCAUGAAUAUUUCUCUUCUUAGUUUUGGAGUCCACUCCACCGGUAACCACAGUCUGUCCUCCCUUCAAAUCCAAGGUUCCCUUGGCGUUCAAAUUUGGAGCAUUCAUGUCAUGCGGCGUCAGUAUUCCUUCGGAAUCAACACUGGACCCCCCCUGCCACACCUGAUUUAGCAUCCCCUUCGCCGCCAAGUCUGCCGGAACCUUAAUUUUCGCAAAGAUCACCAUGACGCCGUUAUCCUCCUCUGCCCGUUCGUCCCACACGUCAAAAGCCAAUUUUGACUGCACCACCGAAGCAAGCGUGUAAGAGCUGAUGUUGUACGUCUUAACAGUCAUGGAACCUUUCGAAUCCUUGUAGCCAACAAGCGCCUGAGCCCCUGGCAUUCCGGUGCCCGUGGGGUUUAUAGCCCAGGAAACCCAUCCAUCAGAUUUGGCAGGGGAAGCAAGGAAGGCGAUAGAAAGAGUAGAAUUAGCGGAAUCGUAAGAGAAAUGGAGAUAGGAGGUGAGGGUAGGGAGGUCUACACAGUGAGCAUACAAAUCAUUGCCGGUGAAUUUCUGAAAGGUGCAGGUCUGCGAGAGCGCGGGUGAGAAAAGAGAAACCAAUAGGCAAAACCCUAAAAUCAAAACAGAGAAGAUAAGGGAAGCCAUUGUUGAGAGCUUUCAGUUACUGACAGAUUAAGAGAGAGCAGAAGAAAAUGGAUGCCAAAUAUUUGGAGGAAUUUAUAGAAAGGUAGUUUAACGCUAUGUUUGGA